GACGAACGCUGGCGGCGUGCUUAACACAUGCAAGUCGAGCGAUGAAGCUCCUUCGGGAGUGGAUUAGCGGCGGACGGGUGAGUAACACGUGGGUAACCUGCCUCAUAGAGGGGAAUAGCCUUCCGAAAGGAAGAUUAAUACCGCAUAAGAUUGUAGCUUCGCAUGAAGCAGCAAUUAAAGGAGCAAUCCGCUAUGAGAUGGACCCGAGUCGCAUUAGCUAGUUGGUGAGGUAACGGCUCACCAAGGCGAAGAUGCGUAGCCGACCUGAGAGGGUGAUCGGCCACAUUGGGACUGAGACACGGCCCAGACUCCUACGGGAGGCAGCAGUGGGGAAUAUUGCACAAUGGGGGAAACCCUGAUGCAGCAACGCCGCGUGAGUGAUGACGGUCUUCGGAUUGUAAAACUCUGUCUUCAGGGACGAUAAUGACGGUACCUGAGGAGGAAGCCACGGCUAACUACGUGCCAGCCGCCGCCGUAA
rnacentral:rRNA from 1 species